rnacentral:rRNA from 1 species
AGUGAACGCUGGCGGCAGGCCUAACACAUGCAAGUCGAACGGCAGCACAGUAAGAGCUUGCUCUUACGGGUGGCGAGUGGCGGACGGGGGAGGAAUACAUCGGAAUCUACUUUUUCGUGGGGGACAACGUAGGGAAACUUACGCUAAUACCGCAUACGACGUACGGGUGAAAGCAGGGGAUCUUCGGACCUUGCGCGAUUGAAUGAGCCGAUGUCGGAUUAGCUAGUUGGCGGGGUAAAGGCCCACCAAGGCGACGAUCCGUAGCUGGUCUGAGAGGAUGAUCAGCCACACUGGAACUGAGACACGGUCCAGACUCCUACGGGAGGCAGCAGUGGGGAAUUUUGGACAAUGGGCGCAAGCCUGAUCCAGCCAUACCGCGUGGGUGAAGAAGGCCUUCGGGUUGUAAACCCCUUUUGUUGGGAAAGAAAAGCAGCAGGUUAAUACCCCGCUGUUCUGACGGUACCCAAAGAAUAAGCACCGGCUAACUUCGUG